rnacentral:lncRNA from 1 species
CACAAAGUAAAUGCAGCAAACACGUUGAAUUGAGCUUUUAUCAGUCAAGUUACACUUAGUAGCAAAUGUUUACACAGUGGAAUCAAUUAGCCCAGAACAGAAAAAGUAUAGAAUAGAGCCAAAACUGCCAACCCCGUCAGUAUUCCGACAUAUAAAAAUGACAGGCUACAAAAUUUAAGAGGAACAAUGGCUGUCGUUAUACCAUAGAUCAAACUAUAUUUUGCAUUUUGUAACUUUCAUAAUUACAGUGCAAGGAUGCAAUGUAAAAAUAAUAGUAAUAAUAAUUCAUUAUAAUCUUAAACAGUUACGUAGAACAGAAAAAUCAGUCGCUAAACCACGAUUGGAGUUAAAGGAAACGGCCGCAGAACUACUUUAUCCUUAACAGUAGUAGAUUGAUUUCAUGUACUUUCCAGUUUCCACAAACCAAAGGAAAAUUCAAAGCUAUACAAUACUGUAAAGCCAAAAAGAGCAAAGUUAAGGAUUACCAAAUAAGCCGACACCAUUACGCAUGCCCCUUCAUUCAACGACUCAAAUAUAUCAUCCAUCCCAAUAAAAUGUAUUGUGAACAAAGAAUUCACAU